rnacentral:rRNA from 1 species
UAACUACAAACUGUCUUGGACAUUGGUUUUUUCAAAUUAACUCCGUGUUGAACUGGUUCUUCUUGUUGUGUGCUGCAGCCCAGCAAUCUGUUCAUGCCAAAUGAUUGAGUCCUGGUGAGGUUCAUUGCUAGACAUGCACGGUCUCUGCAGGCAAGGAACACAUAAAAGUAAAUCAGCGUGUUAUCAGAAACUCAUGAGCAUGAAAGAGAAAUUUGGAUCAUGUGCGAACAUGGGUAGAGAGCAGAUCGAGGAGAACUUGAAGAUUAAAGGCAAUGAAAGGUUCCGUAAAAUGGCAGCGGGUAGAGUUCUUGUCCUGCACAAAGGAAGACGCGCCGGCACCCGUGGAUCGCUGGAAGCCUCACCGACACCCAUGUCUUGCUGGCAGCCGUGGCGGCACCAGGGGCAAAGUUUGAAGAAACAGGCCUCGCACACCUGAUCGGACGGCAAACUUUGAAGAAAGAUAGGAUUUGAAAAUUAUUUGUUGUAUAUAGAAAGAGCAAAAAUAUUAGAUUAAACUGUUGUUUAUGGAAGCUUCUUGUGACGGAAUUUUCUGAUAUGAUUCCAUAUGAUUUGAUUUAAUUGGUGUCGUAAAUUGAAGGGAAGGAUGG